rnacentral:rRNA from 1 species
AACGAACGCUGGCGGCAGGCCUAACACAUGCAAGUCGAACGCUGUAGCAAUACAGAGUGGCAGACGGGUGAGUAACGCGUGGGAACGUGCCCUUUGGUUCGGAAUAACCCAGGGAAACUUGGGCUAAUACCGGAUACGUCCGUAAGGAGAAAGAUUUAUCGCCAAAGGAUCGGCCCGCGUCGGAUUAGCUAGUUGGUGAGGUAAAGGCUCACCAAGGCGACGAUCCGUAGCUGGUCUGAGAGGAUGACCAGCCACACUGGGAC